GUCCUGGCCUAACGAUGAAUGCUUGGUGUGGCGGUAUCGAUCCCUGCCGUGCCGAAGUUAACGCGAUAAGCAUUCCGCCUGGGGAGUACGGUCGCAAGGCUGAACUCAAGGAAUUGACGGGGCCCGGCACAAGCGGUGGAGCAUGUGGUUCAAUUCGACGCAACGCGAAGAACCUUACCUGGGCUCGAAAUGUAGAUGACCAUCGGCGAAAGUCGACUUCCGCAAGGACAUCUGUAUAGGUGCUGCAUGGCUGUCGU
rnacentral:rRNA from 1 species